UGGGGAAUAUUGGACAAUGGGCGCAAGCCUGAUCCAGCCACGCCGCGUGAGUGAUGAAGGCCUUCGGGUCGUAAAGCUCUGUGGGGAGGGACGAACCGCCGUUGGUGCAUAGCCAACGGCAUGACGGUACCUCCUUAGCAAGCACCGGCUAACUUCGUGCCAGCAGCCGCGGUAAUACGAAGGGUGCAAACGUUGCUCGGAAUUAUUGGGCGUAAAGCGCACGUAGGCGGCUUUGCAAGUCCCAUGUGAAAGCCCACGGCUCAACCGUGGAAGUGCAUGGGAAACUGCAGAGCUUGAGUACUUAAGAGGAUCGCGGAAUUCCCGGUGUAGAGGUGAAAUUCGUAGAUAUCGGGAGGAACACCAGUGGCGAAGGCGGCGAUCUGGGAAGAUACUGACGCUGAGGUGCGAAAGCGUGGGGAGCAAACAGG
rnacentral:rRNA from 1 species